rnacentral:rRNA from 1 species
UAAGCUUAACAUAUUGUAUCUACAAUUCCACAAUUUUUACUUAACCCUUCAUCACUACUGAACUAUUUUAUACCCCUAUAAAAGUCAUUAUGCUAGAACUAGUAACAAGAAAUUGCCCUUCUCCAAAAUGUAUGUUUAAACCAAAAUGGACACUCCACUGGUAGUUAACGUAAAUGUAAAAAUCAUAGCACCACAUACUAGAAAACCCUAUGACUCCCCAACGUCAACCUUACACUAGAACAUUACAGGAAAGAUUAAAAGAGAAAGAAGGAACUCGGCAAACCACAGUCCCGCCUGUUUACCAAAAACACCGCCUCUUGCCCCCAAAUAUAAGAGGUCCAGCCUGCCCAGUGACAUAGUUUAACGGCCGCGGUACCCUAACCGUGCGAAGGUAGCAUAAUCACUUGUUCUUUAAAUAAGGACUCGUAUCAACGGCAUCACGAGGGCUGUACUGUCUCCUUUCUCCAAUCAGUGAAACUGAUCUCCCCGUGAAGAAGCGGGGAUUGACCUAUAAGACGAGAAGACCCCAUGGAGCUUUAAACCCAACACACACCUCUACUCACUCAAAUCAACAUAACCCAAGAGACUUGUGUGUUGGUUUUAGGUUGGGGGGACCGCGGAGUAAAAUCAAACCUCCAUGACAGACGGACUAACACCCUUAUCCAUGAACCACAAUUCUAAGAGCCAAUAAAUUGUUGUCUAAUGACCCAAUUACUUGAUCAACGAACCAAGUUACCCUGGGGAUAACAGCGCAAUCUACUUCAAGAGCCCCUAUCGACAAGUAGGUUUACGACCUCGAUGUUGGAUCAGGGUAUCCUAGUGGUGCAGCCGCUACUAAAGGUUCGUUUGUUCAACGAUUAAAA